AUGAACGUUGGCGGUGUGCCUAAUACAUGCAAGUCGAACGAAGAUGAUAGCAAUAUUGUCUUAGUGGCGAACGGGUGAGUAACGCGUUGGUGACCUGCUCCGAAGUGUGGAAUAACAAUUCGAAAGGAUUGCUAAUACCCCAUGUGGUCAUUUGGAUUAGAUGCCUUAUGACUAAACGGAUUUAUUCGCUUCGGGAGGGGCCUGCGUCCCAUCAGCUAGUUGGUAAGGUAAUGGCUUACCAAGGCGAUGACGGGUAGGGGACCUGAGAGGGUGGCCCCCCACAAUGGAACUGAAACACGGUCCAUACACCUACGGGUGGCAGCAGUAGGGAAUAUUGGUUAAUCUGGGAAACCGGGAACCAGCAACGCCGCGUGCACGAUGAAGGCCUUCGGGUUGUAAAGUGCUUUUUGAAAGGAUGAGGAGGGACAGUACUUUCAGAAUAAGCUUCGGCUAACUACGU
rnacentral:rRNA from 1 species